rnacentral:rRNA from 1 species
GAUGAACGCUGGCGGCGUGCCUAAUACAUGCAAGUCGAGCGAACAGAUGAGGAGCUUGCUCCUCUGACGUUAGCGGCGGACGGGUGAGUAACACGUGGAUAACCUACCUAUAAGACUGGGAUAACUUCGGGAAACCGGAGCUAAUACCGGAUAAUAUAUUGAACCGCAUGGUUCAAUAGUGAAAGACGGUUUUGCUGUCACUUAUAGAUGGAUCCGCGCCGCAUUAGCUAGUUGGUAAGGUAACGGCUUACCAAGGCAACGAUGCGUAGCCGACCUGAGAGGGUGAUCGGCCACACUGGAACUGGCACACGGUCCAGACUCCUACGGGAGGCAGCAGUAGGGAAUCUUCCGCAAUGGGCGAAAGCCUGACGGAGCAACGCCGCGUGAGUGAUGAAGGUCUUCGGAUCGUAAAACUCUGUUAUUAGGGAAGAACAAAUGUGUAAGUAACUAUGCACGUCUUGACGGUACCUAAUCAGAAAGCCACGGCUAACUACGUG